rnacentral:rRNA from 1 species
GUCCUUAGUACGAGAGGACCGGGAUGGACAUACCCCUGGUGUACCAGUUGUCGUGCCAACGGCAUAGCUGGGUAGCUAUGCGUGGACGGGAUAACUGCUGAAAGCAUCUACGCAUGAAGCCCCCCUCAAGAUGUGAUUUCCCAACUUCGGUUAUCUGAUUCUUCUACGAUGAUGACGUUAAUAGGUCCGAGGCGGAAGCAUGGUGACAUGUGGAGCUGACGAAUACUAAUCGAUCGAAGACUUAAUCAAAA